rnacentral:rRNA from 1 species
GACGAACGCUGGCGGCGUGCCUAAUACAUGCAAGUCGAACGAGUGGCGGAUGGGUGAGUAACACGUGGGAACCUACCCAUCUGAGGGGGAUAACACUUGGAAACAGGUGCUUAUACCGCAUACUGAUGGAUGGACCCGCGGUGAAUUAGAUAGUAGGUGGGGUAAAGGCUCACCUAGGCGACGAUCUCUAGCUGGUCUGAGAGGAUGAUCAGCCACACUGGGACUGAGACACGGCCCAGACUCCUACGGGAGGCAGCAGUGGGGAAUAUUGCACAAUGGGCGCAAGCCUGAUGCAGCCAUGCCGCGUGUAUGAAGAAGGCCUUAGGGUUGUAAAGUACUUUCAGCGGGGAGGCGUUACCCGCAGAAGAAGCACCGGCUAACUCCGUGCCAGCAGCCGCGGUAAUUC